GAGCACGGGGUGAAGUGUCCGCGCAAAUCCGUAACUAAACCAAGACAUUAAUGCCCGGACCAGACCUCCUCUCCCCAUCCCUACCCCAGCAUCGUAGCAGCAGCCAAGAAAUCUUGGCGCAAUCGUUUGGGGGAACACGGCGGAGCUCCUCGUCUCCAAAUCCCUACACUCCUUGAGCUGUUCAUCUGCAGAAUCAUCCUUGCUCCUCUUCAGGUUCAUCGGAAGAAUCAAGGUAGCACGAAGAGUACUCUCCAAUCUCGUGCAAAUUCAUUCCAAUCCAGCUAACCGAAGCCCCGGCUUCUGAACCUCAUUACGGGCGGCAGAUGGAGACGGAGCCCGUGAGCGCGGCCACGGGGGCCACGGGCUCCGUCCUCAGGAAGCUGGGCGCUCUGCUGGCCGGCGACCACGCGGUUCCCAAUGGCGACGACGUCGAGUCCCUCAUGGCGGAGCUCCAGGGGGUGCACGCCUCCCUCAAGGCAACAUCCCGGGCGGAGGAUCCCGGCGAGCGAGGCAGGCGCUGGAUGAAGGAGGCGCGGGAGCUCUCGUACGACGUGGAGGACGCCCUAGACGAGUUCAUGCUCCCUCCCCGCGACGGAUCUGGUACUGGUGAUACUACCUCAGACGGCUUCUCUGAAAAGAUCGGCGCCUGGUUGAGGGAGGCGGCGGCUCGCCGUCGGACAGGCCAAGAGAUCACCGACAGCAUCUCCAGGGCCGGCGGCGUCGAGGCGGAGGAUCCCCGGGACUGCUCUCUCUACAAGGAGAUGCGUGAGCCCGUGGGCCUCGACGGGCCCGCUGCUGAACUCGUCAGAAUGGUGGACGGGGGAGGGAAGCAGUUGGAGGUGGUUUCCAUCGUCGGGUGUGGCGGGCUGGGCAAGACCACUCUUGCUCGUCGUGUCUACGACACACUGGGUGAGCAGUUUGAGUGCCGGGCUUUCGUCUCCGUCUCCCGGAAACCUCAUGUGGUGGCAAUUUUGAGGGAUAUUCUCAGCCAACUGGGGUGUGAGUAUGAUCAAACCUUAACUGGGGAUGCGCAAUCGCUCGUCGACAGCGUCUCUAAUUUCCUUAAGGAUAAAAGGUACUUGAUCAUAGUAGAUGAUGUAUGCGAUGUUCAAACAUGGGAUAUUAUUAAGGGUGCCUUUCCAAACAGCAAUUCUGGCAGCAGAAUAAUCACGACAACGCGUAUACAUGAAGUAGCCAAAUCAUGCAGUGCUUCAUGUGGUGGUCGAGUUUAUACGUUAAGCCCUCUCAGUACCGUGGACUCGGAAAGGUUGUUUUUCAAGAUGGUGUUUAAUUCCGGUGAGCACUGCCCGUCCCACCUCAAAAGAGUUUUUGACAAAAUCUUGCAGAAAUGUGGUGGUCUGCCCCUGGCAAUUAUUGCUAUAUCCGGCUUGCUGGUUGCCAACACGCAUGAAGAUCAAUGGGAGCAAGUGUACAGCUCUAUCAGGCAUGGACUCGGAAGCAACCCUGCUGUUGAAAGAACCAUGAGGAUUUUGUUGCUUGGCUACUUUGAUCUUACCCCUUGCCUAAAAUCUUGCCUGCUUUAUCUCAGUGUAUUCCCGGAAGGUUAUGCUAUCAAGAAGGAACGUCUGGUAUUGAGAUGGAUUGCCGAGGGGUUCAUUCCUGAAGAGCAUGGGCACACCCUAUAUGAGUCAGGAGAGAGGUGUUUGAACGAGCUCAUCAGCUGGAACCUGAUCCAAUCAGGGGAGAUAAAUAAGUUUGGUGAGGUGGAAACCUGUCGAGUCCAUGGCAUAAUUCUUGAUUUCCUCGUAUCCAUGGCAAACCAAGACAAUUUUGUUACUUUCAUUGGUGUACCUGGUGCAAAUCCUGAGCCACAAAACAAAGCCCGUCGAUUGUCCCUACAGGGUGACAGUGAAAUUCCAGCAUAUCUUAUUUUGUGUAAUGCCCGGUCACUUUCUGUUUUUGGUGGUUGUGUUAAAAUGCCAUCCCUCUCGAAGUUCAGACACUUGCAUAUUUUCGACAUGGAAGGUUCUGGGGAAGUAGAAGAUCAACAUCUUGCAGAAAUAGGUGGUCUGGUCCAUCUUAAGUACCUGAGGCUCAAGUCAAAAAUUGGGAAGCUUCCCCAACAAAUAGCAGAGUUACAGUACUUGGAGUCACUUGAGAUAUGCGAAAGCAAUGCGACAACCGAAAUUCCAUCAGCCAUCAAUCAACUCACACAAUUGGCACGUCUAGUUGUUAACGAUGAAACUGUAUUACCGGAUGAAAUUGGUGGCCUCAAAGCAUUGCAAGUGUUGAGAGGUAUCAAUGUCAACACCCAGUCCACCAACUUUGUUCGGCAACUCUGUCUACUAUCAAACCUGAUGGAGCUAAGCAUAAGUUUUAUCAACUAUUAUGCUGGUGAUAACUGGAAGGAGAACCAGGAAGAGAUGGUCAAUUCGAUAUGUCGGCUAGACGGAGCAAACCUUCAUGUUCUACACAUUACUAUCAACGAGGGAGCAGAUGAGAUCUUCGAGGAGUCAUGGAGCCCUGCUCCACUUAGUCUCCGGGAACUUGUCGUCGAGGUGGGCAUUGUCUCAAGUGUUCCAAGAUGGAUUGGCUCACUUGUCAACCUCCAGAAAUUGGUGGUACCUAUGUGGGAAGUUGGGGAGGAGGACCUGGUGAUCCUGGGAAGCCUACCUGAUCUGCGCCAUCUUAGCCUCACUGCACUGGCAGCUGGGUCAAAAGAAGGGCGGCUUAGGGUCACCCAAAGCCAUGGGUUCCCUUCAUUGAUCAAUUUCCAGAUCGGCGGAGAAGAGUGUGCGCUUGGGUUGGUUUUUGAAGCUGGUUCCAUGCCAAAGCUACAACAUCUUGAGCUCGAGUUCGACGUGGAGGAAACUAGUUCUGUGACUGAUGGUGGUUUUGAUUUUGGCAUCAAGCAUCUCUCCUGCCUCACAAGCACAACGGUCCGCUCUACUUACGACGAAUCCAUUCGUCCCACGCUGGAGGCUGCCAUGGAGAGAUGCAUCUACGACCAUCCCAACCGUCCCAUGUUGAUAUGGAUGAAAUGAAUAUUUGGCAAAAUUCAAGCAGGCUGGUAGAAGCUGCAGCUGCUCACAGUUAGCAUGAGCAACAAGAUGGGUGAACAUGGUAAUAGGGUGACACUGAAAAGCCAAGGGCACAGCAAUAACCGGACGGAAGUUCUUGUUACAUCAGUUAGUGGUAUUCUACCUAUCCAAAAGUUUAUUUCAAGAAAACUGUUUUCUUGAAAUGUUUCUAGACAUGGGCAAUCAGCGUGGUGUACCUCAUGGCUGAUGGUCAUCAUUUUCAUUGUGUUCCUUCGUUGUUUGUUAAAGUGAGCAAGUGACAUUGUAAAACUUUCUUAAGUGCUCCCUCCAUCUAAAAUAAGUGACACUUAUUUUGGGACGGAGGGAGUACGUAGUUACAUCAACAUCUUCUUUGCGGGGAAGCCGAUUCGCUCUGGAGCCACUCCCCCGGCCAGCGAGGACGAGGAGGCUCUCCGCGAUGCCAUCCACCGACUUGAACUAGCAGUCCGAUGGCAUGUAUGAUAAGACAAAUGAGGGAUAACCGGGCUAAGGAGGAUAUAGCCAAAGGAUACCCAAGCGUCGCAGAGGGCGAGUUACAGAGCAAAAAUGGGGCGUUUAUGCCCUCGCCGCCAUGCCUGGCGGCAGUGGGUGGGCAGUGGGUGAAGUUUCUCUGUGCCCUCCUGAUAGAACAUGCCUAAUUUUAGUAGUCCGAUGGACAAGGGUAAUGGCAAAGGAGGCAGUGGGUGAACUUCCUCUAUAGCCUGAUUUGAACUAGCAGAACAGGUCUAAUUUUGUUAGUUCAAUGGCAUGUAUCGGAAAUACAGUAAAAUACAUUACUUUUUGGAUUCAUAUACAGUAAAAUGUCCGAUGGACAAGGGUAAUGGCAAAGGAGGCAGUGGGUGAACUUCCUCUAUAGCCUGAUUUGAACUAGCAGAACAGGUCUAAUUUUGUUAGUUCAAUGGCAUGUAUCGGAAAUACAGUAAAAUACAUUACUUUUUGGAUUCAUAUACAGUAAAAUACAUUACUAUGGGAUUCAUAUACGGCGCCUUUUUGGAUGCAAAGAAAGAGAUCUCAGCCAAGUUUGAAAAUGAACAACAAGAAUCUUGUUUUCAAGAAGUGUUGGAUAUAGUGGAUAAAAGAUGGGACAACAAAUUGAAGAGGCCACUACAUAGGGAUGGAUACUUCUUAAAUCCAUACUACUUUUAUGAAAACAAGCUACAAAUUUUGUUGGAUCCAACAUUUAAAGAUGGGGUUGUCAGUUGCAUGGGAAAAAUGGUGGAAGAUGUUCGCCUUCAAGACAAAAUCACAGAUGAACUUAAGGCAUAUCAAGGUGAAGAGGGGUCAUUUGGAAGAGACAUUGCUAAAAGGCAGCGGAAAAACAAAAACUUUGAUCCAGCUGAUUGGUGGUCCAAUCAUGGGUCAAGUGCACCAAAUCUCAGGGUAUUGGCGAUGCGGAUUUUGAGUUUGACAUGCAGCUCCUCGGCUUGUGAGAGGAAUUUCAGUGUUUUUCAGCAGAUUCACACAAAAAGACGCAAUAGGCUACUUCAUGACAAAAUGAGAGACCUUGUGUUCAUCAAGUUCAACUCCAAACUAAAGGAAAAGAGAGGGAUGAAAAACAGGGACCCAAUUGAGGACCACACAUUUGUAGAUGUUGUAGAAGAUGAAGGUAAUGAGUGGAUUACUGGUGUUGUGUCUGUUGAAGGAGUGCAAACAGGAGUUGAACCUGAAGAUGUACAAGUUGCACAAUCAACAUCAGGAGGAGAAGUUGCUCCAUCAAAAAGAAAGAUAAUGUCUCAAUCUCGUCCUAGGAAGAAGAAGAAGUUGCUUCCUAUUUAUCGUGAUGAUGAGUUGCAAUCAGCUGAGUCUUCUUCUGAACCGGAAGAUGAUGAAAUGCAUUUACCAGUGAGUGAUUCUGAAUAAUUUGAUUGUGCUAUGUUGUAAUGUUGUCCCCUUCGGUGGCUAUUGAUGUAGACUAUCUUAAAACUCGUAUGUUAUUUUGUGUUGUAUUGUUGCUGCCCUGGUGGUUGUUCAUGUUAGAGACUCUUAAACUAUGGCUGUUGAGUGUUGAUGUUUGAGACUUACUAUUUUUAUGUACUGGAUUUGGCCCUU